rnacentral:rRNA from 1 species
CCCACGAGUCCGAUAGCGAACAAGUACCAUGAGGGAAAGUUGAAAAGUACUCUGAAGAGAGAGUAAACAGUACGUGAAGCCGCAUGCAGGUAAACGGGUGGCGUCAAGCUGCGAGCCCGGAGGAUUCAGCUGACUGGGAUGUAGUGUACGCGCGCCUGGUGCGUCGAGAGGCCGGAGUAAGAUGUGGCGGUCCACUCCUCUGUCGGGAGUGGGGUGCAAUCGGUGUGCGCUCGCCGUGCAACGGUUGUCGCUAUGCAUGCCGGGUGGGUGCCGGAGCAUGCCGCUCGUCUGUUGGGCCACCUAGUCAGUGCAUUUUCUCCGCGGUGAACACCACGACCGGUGGAACUGCCAGUCUGCUAUGAGCAAGUCGUGUCCUCCUGGCGCAUUGCUGUGUUGGGUGGGCGCGAUCGCUGGCGGAGUGGGUGAACGGCGCAGUGGUGCCUCGGUACUGCCGCGUGUUAUCGUGCACUCUCCGUCGUAAGCGGUUAGUGGGUUUGACUAAGUGCUGUGACUACUUGCCUACUAAUCGGCGGCUCUUAGUGGUGAAAGUGACUGUGCAGGGCACCGGAGUUGUCCACCUCAUUCAAUAUGGUAUCCGGCACGCACGUUACAGGUGCUAAGGAAUCGAGGUGCGCCGCUGUCUGCCUUGUGUUGGGCCUGACUGUCGUGUUGCCUGCAAAAAGUGGGUCCGGCGGUGGUUUCGAUACUUGGUAUUGGCAGUGUGAUGCGCGUCUCGGGUGUCUGUGAUACCGGGGGUGAAAUAGUCAGUGGUGCUGUGGUAGACGAGCUACCCGAC